rnacentral:rRNA from 1 species
AUUGAACGCUGGCGGCAGGCCUAACACAUGCAAGUCGAACGAGUGGCGGACGGGUGAGUAAUGUCUGGGAAACUGCCCGAUGGAGGGGGAUAACUACUGGAAACGGUAGCUAAUACCGCAAACCAUCGGAUGUGCACAGAUGGGAUUAGCUUGUAGGUGAGGUAACGGCGCACCUAGUCGACGAUCCCUAGCUGGUCUGAGAGGCUGACAAGCCACACUGGAACGGAGACACGGUCCAGACUCCUACGGUAGGAAGCAUGGGGGAAUAUUGCCCAAUGGGCGCAAGCCGGAUGCAGCCAUGCCGCUGGUAUGAAGAAGGCCUUCGGGUUGUAAAGUACUUUCAGCGGGGAGGCGUUACCCGCAGAAGAAGCACCGGCUAACUCCGUGCCAGCCGCCGCGGUAAUUC